rnacentral:misc_RNA from 1 species
GGAGGGAUCAUUACCGAGUCACGUGCUCAAACAACCCUUCUGUGGACCUGAAUUAAACCGUUGCCUCGGCGGGCGGUCCCCUGUCAAAAAAAAAAACCCACGUGGUUAUAGGCAGGGGACCAGACAGUCCGGCACGCUUAAGGCGUCCGGCGCCAGCCGCUGGCCCUAAACAAUUAAACUCUAGUAACCUUACCUUCUGAGUUUUAAUACAAAAAAUAAGUCAAAACUUUCAACAACGGAUCUCUUGGCUCUGGCAUCGAUGAAGAACGCAGCGAAAUGCGAUAAGUAAUGUGAAUUGCAGAAUUCAGUGAAUCAUCGAAUCUUUGAACGCACAUUGCGCCCGCUGGUAUUCCAGCGGGCAUGCCCGUUCGAGCGUCAUUUUAAUCCCUUCCCGAGAGACUCUUCUAUUUCUGUAGUGGAGUCCGCGGGGCGUUGGCACUGGGCGCCUCAUUUUUUUAGGCGGCCGGAGCCGAAAUGAAGCGGCGGACUCGCGGUGGCCCCUAGCGCAGUAGAACAAGCCUUCUCGCUUAGGAGAGCCGCAGCGGUGGAUCACAGCCCUACAUGCAAAAGCAACAUAUAAAAACUUGACCUCGGAUCGGGUAGGACUACCCGCUGAACUUAAGCAUAUCAAUAAGCGGAGGAAAAGAAACCAACAGGGAUUGCCUUAGUAACGGCGAGUGAAGCGGCAACAGCUCAGAUUUGAAAUCUGGCCUUCGGGUCCGAGUUGUAAUCUGUAGAGGAUGCUUCGGGUGAGGUACCUUCCGAGUGCCCUGGAACGGGACGCCAGAGAGGGUGAGAGCCCCGUACGGUUGGAUACCAAGCCUAUGUGAAGCUCCUUCGACGAGUCGAGUAGUUUGGGAAUGCUGCUCAAAAUGGGAGGUAAAUUUCUUCUAAAGCUAAAUACCGGCCAGAGACCGAUAGCGCACAAGUAGAGUGAUCGAAAGAUGAAAAGCACUUUGGAAAGAGGGUUAAAAAGUACGUGAAAUUGUUGAAAGGGAAGCGCUUGCGACCAGACUCGCGCCCCGUGGAUCAUCCGGUGUUCUCACCGGUGCACUCCGCGGGUCUCGGGCCAGCAUCGGUUCGCCCAGGGGGAUAAAAGCUCUGGGAAUGUGGCUCUCUUCGGGGAGUGUUAUAGCCCACUGUGGAAUACCCCUGGCGCGGACCGAGGACCGCGCCUUGUGCAAGGAUGCUGGCGUAAUGGUCGUCAGCGACCCGUCUUGAAACACGGACCAAGGAGUCGAACAUUUGUGCGAGUGUCUGGGUGACAAAACCCUUACGCGUAAUGAAAGUGAACGGAGGUGGGAGCUUCGGCGCACCAUCGACCGAUCCUGAAGUUUUCUGAUGGAUUUGAGUAAGAGCGUAACUGUUCGGACCCGAAAGAUGGUGAACUAUGCCUGUGUAGGGUGAAGCCAGAGGAAACUCUGGUGGAGGCUCGCAGCGGUUCUGACGUGCAAAUCGAUCGUCAAACAUGGGCAUGGGGGCGAAAGACUAAUCGAACCAUCUAGUAGCUGGUUUCCGC